GUGCAUACCUAUAGCAUAUCGUUAAUGCGCCAAAUCCCAUCACAACUCCGCAAUUAAUCACUCUCGGGCUAGAGUAGUACUGGGAUGGGUGAUCGCCCGAGAAGUCCUAGGAUUUUACAUG
rnacentral:rRNA from 1 species